UUCGUAAUUUUCACGUUCAGAUAUCAUACCUUCACCUCUACUCUUCCCUCUCCAUCAUGCCACUUGCCCAUUUUGUCCUCUGCUUGCCCUCUUCAGAUUUCAGAGACAGAGAUAGUGAGGCCUGAGAGAGUGAAACCGCUAGAGAGAGAGAGACGACGCCGAUGGGAAAAAGGGUGUCAGGUAUGGCCUCCGCCGGCCACCCUAUUUUGAGGACGUCGGUGGUCUUGCUUGUGUGCGUCGGAGAGUCAGUUCGGAGAGAGAGAUGACAGUUCCGUUUCCAGGUUACUUUCACCUACAUCUGCAGGUCAUUUAAUACAUGGUAAGAUGAUGCUCUGCUUAUGGGUUACGAAGCCUAGACAUGGUAAGCCAGGGCUUCAGAUCUGCAAUUACAUAUCGUGCGUCACCACCAACAACAUUUAGCGGCGGCAACCGUCCCCAAGGCUCCGGCGUUCUUCAGGGUUUCACCUUGCUUCGUUGUUGUGUGGAUUUCUUUAAUUUGAAGAUUUCAUGUAAGCCAAGACAAAUAUAGGGACAGUUUAUUUGGUGUAGGUUGGUGACUGAUGUUCUAGCGACCACAGUAGCACGUUUUGCCAUUUUGGUGAGUUUUCGUUUUUCAUUACAGAUACAAAGUGUUUACAUUAUUUACCACUACUGAAUGUAUCAAUAAGACUGAGAUUUGUACCAAAAGGAGAUAUUGCUUUGCUUUGGAUUCUUAAACUUUAUUCGUUGCACACCCUAGCUUAGUUUAAAUACUCUUAACCUGAAGAAAAGAAUGUUAGGGAAAGAAUACAUUGAAGUUAAAAAACUAAGAGGCAACCACUGAACAUGGUGUAAAAGUCAACUCCCAACAUUUGACAUUAUGGUCAUCAUGGUUAUUAAUAGUUUUAUAUUUGAAUUUGCAGUUUGGGUUAUUCUUUUUUCUCCAAACAACCUUUUAGUUACCAUGAGUUGAUCAUAGUCAUGGGCGAAGCUUUUAAGGGGCGGGAGGGGGAGCCGACCUCCCGAACUUUUCGCCCAGUAGUGGAAAGUAUGUAGUUUUCGUAUAGAAGUUUUUGGGUAUAUACGUUUUCGACCCCCCGGUUUUAUAGAAAUUUAUAGGUCCAUUGACUUCCGCCCCCCGGUCGGAAGUCUCAAGCUUCGCCACUUAUUAUAGUUAUAAAGUUUUAAGAAGUUGCUGAUGGCAAGUUGUUAUGAAGUUUUAUCUAAGAUUUAGGCGUAACACAAAUUAUAUAUGCUCGAAGUCAAUUUUCGUCGGUUCUACAAAUUAAAAUAAGUUGUAGAAAGUGGCUCUAGAUCAUCUAAUUUAUAUUUAGAGUAUAGCUCCUUCGUUUAAGAGUUUUGAAGUUUAAUAGCAUCUGAAAUAAAUAAUUACCCUUGUAUUAUGACUAUUAUCUAUUUGAUUAUGCAACAAAAGGAUCUGGAGAUGUGAAAUAAAAUAUAUAUUUGAAGUUACCAUUAUUGAGGAGAUCAAGACUAUGGGUUAUCUCUGGGUCCGAAAUCGGUCAAAAGACAUGGCAGAAGUGGCGGAAUUUUGUUGUUUUUGAGUUACUGUUUUGCUGCUUUGUUUUUUGUUUUGGUGGUUCUGUAUGGUGUGGCCGGUGUUGUUUAGUGUCACGCUGCAGCCCGCGCCAAUUUGUUUUUGAAUAAAAAUUCAGUUGGUCGUUCAAAAAAAGAAGUUACAAAAUUAUUAGUGCCUAUUUCAUGCUAAUACCGGUUUCUGUAGACAUAAUAAUUGUAUGUUUUAGGCUUUGUAGAAGUUUUCAUUAUCUAAUUGCCAAGAUUUGUCUAUAUGUCUUCACAAAUGCAGACUUAGAUGACAGUUUGAAUACUUGCGCAAUUAUUCCGUGGCAUUUUAUCAAUACAGGUUAAUUAUUUCCGAGUU